rnacentral:tRNA from 1 species
GGUUGCAUGGUGUAAGGAGCAGUGCUCACAACUUUGAAUUCUGUAAUCUGAGUUCAAAUCUCAGUGGGACCU